ensembl:misc_RNA Y_RNA Y RNA
GGCUGGUCCAAAGGUAGUGAGUUACCUCAAUUGAUAGUUACAGAUAAAUUUUUUUGCUCUAUUUCUUUCCCCCUUUACUGCACUGGAGAAGUCUGAC